GGAAGCGUCUGGAAAGGCGCGCGAUACAGGGUGACAGCCCCGUACACAAAAAUGCACAUGCUGUGAGCUCGAUGAGUAGGGCGGGACACGUGGUAUCCUGUCUGAAUAUGGGGGGACCAUCCUCCAAGGCUAAAUACUCCUGACUGACCGAUAGUGAACCAGUACCGUGAGGGAAAGGCGAAAAGAACCCCGGCGAGGGGAGUGAAAAAGAACCUGAAACCGUGUACGUACAAGCAGUGGGAGCACGCUUAGGCGUGUGACUGCGUACCUUUUGUAUAAUGGGUCAGCGACUUAUAUUCUGUAGCAAGGUUAACCGAAUAGGGGAGCCGAAGGGAAACCGAGUCUUAACUGGGCGUUAAGUUGCAGGGUAUAGACCCGAAACCCGGUGAUCUAGCCAUGGGCAGGUUGAAGGUUGGGUAACACUAACUGGAGGACCGAACCGACUAAUGUUGAAAAAUUAGCGGAUGACUUGUGGCUGGGGGUGAAAGGCCAAUCAAACCGGGAGAUAGCUGGUUCUCCCCGAAAGCUAUUUAGGUAGCGCCUCGUGAAUUCAUCUCCGGGGGUAGAGCACUGUUUCGGCAAGGGGGUCAUCCCGACUUACCAACCCGAUGCAAACUGCGAAUACCGGAGAAUGUUAUCACGGGAGACACACGGCGGGUGCUAACGUCCGUCGUGAAGAGGGAAACAACCCAGACCGCCAGCUAAGGUCCCAAAGUCAUGGUUAAGUGGGAAACGAUGUGGGAAGGCCCAGACAGCCAGGAUGUUGGCUUAGAAGCAGCCAUCAUUUAAAGAAAGCGUAAUAGCUCACUGGUCGAGUCGGCCUGCGCGGAAGAUGUAACGGGGCUAAACCAUGCACCGAAGCUGCGGCAGCGACGCUUAUGCGUUGUUGGGUAGGGGAGCGUUCUGUAAGCCUGUGAAGGUGUGCUGUGAGGCAUGCUGGAGGUAUCAGAAGUGCGAAUGCUGACAUAAGUAACGAUAAAGCGGGUGAAAAGCCCGCUCGCCGGAAGACCAAGGGUUCCUGUCCAACGUUAAUCGGGGCAGGGUGAGUCGACCCCUAAGGCGAGGCCGAAAGGCGUAGUCGAUGGGAAACAGGUUAAUAUUCCUGUACUUGGUGUUACUGCGAAGGGGGGACGGAGAAGGCUAUGUUGACCGGGCGACGGUUGUCCCGGUUUAAGCGUGUAGGCUGGUUUUCCAGGCAAAUCCGGAAAAUCAAGGCUGAGGCGUGAUGACGAGGCACUACGGUGCUGAAGCAACAAAUGCCCUGCUUCCAGGAAAAGCCUCUAAGCAUCAGGUAACAUCAAAUCGUACCCCAAACCGACACAGGUGGUCAGGUAGAGAAUACCAAGGCGCUUGAGAGAACUCGGGUGAAGGAACUAGGCAAAAUGGUGCCGUAACUUCGGGAGAAGGCACGCUGAUAUGUAGGUGAAGUCCCUCGCGGAUGGAGCUGAAAUCAGUCGAAGAUACCAGCUGGCUGCAACUGUUUAUUAAAAACACAGCACUGUGCAAACACGAAAGUGGACGUAUACGGUGUGACGCCUGCCCGGUGCCGGAAGGUUAAUUGAUGGGGUCAGCGCAAGCGAAGCUCUUGAUCGAAGCCCCGGUAAACGGCGGCCGUAACUAUAACGGUCCUAAGGUAGCGAAAUUCCUUGUCGGGUAAGUUCCGACCUGCACGAAUGGCGUAAUGAUGGCCAGGCUGUCUCCACCCGAGACUCAGUGAAAUUGAACUCGCUGUGAAGAUGCAGUGUACCCGCGGCAAGACGGAAAGACCCCGUGAACCUUUACUAUAGCUUGACACUGAACAUUGAGCCUUGAUGUGUAGGAUAGGUGGGAGGCUUAGAAGUGUGGACGCCAGUCUGCAUGGAGCCGACCUUGAAAUACCACCCUUUAAUGUUUGAUGUUCUAACGUUGACCCGUAAUCCGGGUUGCGGACAGUGUCUGGUGGGUAGUUUGACUGGGGCGGUCUCCUCCUAAAGAGUAACGGAGGAGCACGAAGGUUGGCUAAUCCUGGUCGGACAUCAGGAGGUUAGUGCAAUGGCAUAAGCCAGCUUGACUGCGAGCGUGACGGCGCGAGCAGGUGCGAAAGCAGGUCAUAGUGAUCCGGUGGUUCUGAAUGGAAGGGCCAUCGCUCAACGGAUAAAAGGUACUCCGGGGAUAACAGGCUGAUACCGCCCAAGAGUUCAUAUCGACGGCGGUGUUUGGCACCUCGAUGUCGGCUCAUCACAUCCUGGGGCUGAAGUAGGUCCCAAGGGUAUGGCUGUUCGCCAUUUAAAGUGGUACGCGAGCUGGGUUUAGAACGUCGUGAGACAGUUCGGUCCCUAUCUGCCGUGGGCGCUGGAGAACUGAGGGGGGCUGCUCCUAGUACGAGAGGACCGGAGUGGACGCAUCACUGGUGUUCGGGUUGUCAUGCCAAUGGCACUGCCCGGUAGCUAAAUGCGGAAGAGAUAAGUGCUGAAAGCAUCUAAGCACGAAACUUGCCCCGAGAUGAGUUCUCCCUGACUCCUUGAGAGUCCUGAAGGAACGUUGAAGACGACGACGUUGAUAGGCCGGGUGUGUAAGCGCAGCGAUGCGUUGAGCUAACCGGUACUAAUGAACCGUGAGGCUUAACCUUACAACGCCGAAGCUGUU
rnacentral:rRNA from 1 species